rnacentral:misc_RNA from 1 species
GUCAAUUGAAGCCCUAGCUUUGGCCCGGGGUGAUGAAUAUUGCUGGAUCAAGCUUGAUGACAGUACGGGUCGCCAUUUGUUGGUAGAGCAAGAGUCAGAGGAGGUGGGUUGAGGAUUGUGAGAGAGGAGCGAGAGAAGUUUUGAAUUUCGAUGAGUAUGGUUUAUUUAAUAUGGACAAUUUCAUCAGUUUAAUUAUAUAAUUCCAUAGGAAUGAAAGAUACCCAUACAAAU